AUUGAACGCUGGCGGAAUGCUUUACACAUGCAAGUCGAACGGUAGGGGGGGCAACCCCACGAGAGUGGCUAACGGGAGAGUAAUAUAUCGGAACGUGCCCAGUCGUCGGGGAUAACGUAGCGAAAGUUACGCUACUACCCCAUACGAUCUAAGGAUGCAAGCGGGGGAUCGCAGGACUUCGCUCGAUUGGAGCGGCCGAUAUCAGAUUAGGUAGUAGGUUGGGUAAAGGCUCACCAAGCCAACGAUCUGUAGCUGGUCUGAGAGGACGACCAGCCCCACUGGAACUGAGACACGGUCCAGACUCCUACGGGAGGCAGCAGUGGGGAAUUUUGGACAAUGGACGCAAGUCUGAUCCAGCCAUUCCGCGUGCAGGAUGAAGGCCCUCGGGUUGUAAACUGCUUUUGUACGGAACGAAAAGGUCUCUCUUAAUACGGGGGACUCAUGACGGUACCGUAAGAAUAAGCACCGGCUAACUACGUGCCAGCCGCCGCGGUAA
rnacentral:rRNA from 1 species